GCCGCAGUAGCUCAGUCUGUUCUUCUAAAGUCUACGGAUUUUAGUUGAGGCUUGGGACCGAUGUGUCGCCAGUUCAAAUCUGGCCUGCGGCA
rnacentral:tRNA from 1 species